rnacentral:rRNA from 1 species
ACCCGCUGAACUUAAGCAUAUCAAUAAGCGGAGGAAAAGAAACCAACAGGGAUUGCCUCAGUAACGGCGAGUGAAGCGGCAACAGCUCAAAUUUGAAAUCUGGCCCUAGGCCCGAGUUGUAAUUUGCAGAGGAUGCUUCUGGUUAGGUGCCUUCCAAGUCCCCUGGAACGGGGCGCCGAAGAGGGUGAGAGCCCCGUCCGGUUGGCCGCCAAGCCUGUGUGAAGCUCCUUCGACGAGUCGAGUAGUUUGGGAAUGCUGCUCUAAACGGGAGGUAGACCCCUUCUAAAGCUAAAUAUUGGCCAGAGACCGAUAGCGCACAAGUAGAGUGAUCGAAAGAUGAAAAGCACUUUGAAAAGAGGGUUAAAAAGUACGUGAAAUUGUUGAAAGGGAAGCGCUUGUGACCAGACGUGUGCCGGGGUGUUCAGCGGGCGUUCUCGCCCGUGCACUCGCCCCGGUACAGGCCAGCGUCGGUUCGCGUGGGGGGACAAAGGCGUUGGGAACGUAGCUCCUCCGGGAGUGUUAUAGCCCAGCGUGUCAUGCCCCCGCGCGGACCGAGGUACGCGCUCCGCAAGGACGCUGGCGUAAUGGUCUCCAGCGGCCCGUCUUGAAACACGG